AACGAUUUUAUAAAUAAACGAAUGGGAAUCAUGAAAACAGUACACUUUGAAGUUUGAAGUGUAGCAUUCAUUACACUCGAGUACUAAACAACGGUUUACACUUUACAGUGUCCAUUUGAAGCACAAUUUUUAUAAUAAUAAUUUGAAAUAAAUACAUGUUCCAAUCUAAAAUAUAUCAAUAUUGAAACCAGUUGAUAAAAAAGAAAUAAGAUGCAGGAAUGUGAUUGUUUGUUAAAACUUGCAUAGUUGCUUGAAUCUUCUACAUGCUUCCACAACGUUGUCCCGAUGACCAAAGGCGCUUACCCUAACAAAACCUUCACCACCAGGUCCGAAACCACUUCCAGGCAUAGUAACAACAUGGGUCUUCUCAAGAAUGUCGCUGAAAACGUCCCAUGAACUUUGGCCUGGAGAAUGGACCCAUACAUAUGGAGCAUUCUUUCCUCCGCACACUUUAAAGCCAAGUGAAUCAAAUGGUCCAUUAUGAUAUUGGUAUUCUCCUUGUAGAACCCAAUCACCUCAGGAAAAGGAGAAAAGAAAAUUCUUAAUUCCACUAGAAGCAUGCUAGUUCCUUUCGCGGUACCUCACAAGCCAGGAAAAUCAGACUCGAGAAAGGAGGUCUAAUCACUCUAUAUAAUAUGCGGUAUAUAUAGUCUGUCAUUAUUUCAGAGACUUAGUCAAUUCAGUACAAAAUGAAAGCACAACCAAAAGGUAUUUAUAAGAGACAAACAAUAGCAUAAAUAGUCUGAUUCAGUUUCUACUCCCAGUCAGCCGAGUGUUACUAGAAGAAUUUUAAAAGUUUCAACCAGUAGAAGUAUUUUUAAUUUCAUCGAGGCCACACUAAAAUAUGAAUGAUAGUAUUUUCAUCCACACACUAUGCAAUAAAUUUCCAUCUUCUGUUCUGGUCAAUAUUCUCAACCUUCUUCUAAACAGACAAUUGUUUUCCUCAACGAAUUAUAUAGAUAGUUUUGCAAUGAAAUAUUACCUCAAGGUGGUGAAAGGCAGGCUAAACCACCAGCUUGAGAUAUGUUAGAGGCCCCACUGAAGCAAGUACAGACAAUUCGACUGAAGUCCUUGGCCACAGGAAAUCCAUCAGAAAAUAACAGCUAUUUAGGAACUACGGUCCAACCUAAACGCACUCCAGUAAAUCCAGCAUAUUUGGAGAAUGAAGCAGUCUCAAUUGCAACCUGAAACAAUCGAAACUCAAUGUCUAUUGUCUGCAUAUAUAACACGCCAGCUUUGUAUCUAAUAACACACUCUCUUUAUUCAUGCUUCGGACAGAAAGACAAUACUACACUCAUCGAGCUUAAGACCGAGCUGUGAUAACACUUUAAGAACCCAGGCAAGUUGUAUUACAGAUACUGACAUAGAAAAUUAGUAAUAAUAACUCAAGCAUUCAUAAUUCAUACACUUAACACUUGUAUAUUUUCCAGAAUGAACAUACUAACAAGAUCUUUCUCUAAAGGGAAUUUUAGAUCCAUAUCUUGCGUGAGACAGCAUUGAGCUCACAUUGUUGUCAUUUGGUCAACUAAAAGAAGAUAUUGUUGCCUAUACCAAUAUAAUAUACAAUUCCUACUUGGUUUGCACAACCAAUUUUGCCCAUUGCUACAGCCAAAUGUACAUAAUGAGAAUAAAGAACUUGAAUAUCACAUAUACCAUGAGGCACUAAUUGCAUAAAUCUAUGCAUACAUAUACAAAUAUAUGUUUCUUGAAGAUAUUUAAUGAGUGACCAAUGAAAAAAGCAAUAGUUACAACCUAAAAGAAGAAUAAACUUCUGUCAGAAAUGUUUAGUGAUCGGACAUGUACAUUGCAUAUGCAGAAUCAUAGACGAUAACUGACCCAUUCUUCUUAGAAAACUGUACCAACUGAGUCAGUUGUUCUCUCGAUGCGGCAGCACCAGUUGGAUUGUUAGGCGAGCAGAAAGAUAUGAUGUCCGUUCUAGAAACAGUAGACAAAUCAGGAAAGAAGCCAUUCUCUGGUGUACAUCGCAUGUAUUCAAUGUUGGAGCACUUCUCAACAUCUUUCUGGUACCGACUAGUUUGGCCCAUAAUGACACUUGAAUCAACAUAGGCCUGCAAUAAUGGAGUAUAAAACACUGAGAACUUAAGUGCCAGAUUAAAUCUUUUUAUCUGUCACAAUCUUUGGCUUUUUAUCUUUUUAUCUAGACUUUACUGUAUCAAAAGAUUUAAAGUACAAACAGGCAGAGAAACAUAAUCUAUUAGGUAUUCAUAAAAACAAGUACACAUUGGCUAGUUACAAGUAACCUAGUAACGUAUAAGUUAAUAACCAUCAGGGCAGAUUAGGAAUAUAGAACAAACGUAGUUUCAAGAAUUCUCACAUAACAUAGUUUGCAUCUGAUAUGCACUCGGGCAUUGUACACACAUACAAAACAGAACUUAAAGGCUGGUAAAAAUUAACCACAAAGUAAAUGGAGAAACUAAGUGUGUGCCUAAUUAUUGGUACUGAGAGAAACAGCCAGUAGUGAUAAGCUUUAUAUGUGUAACAUGUUAUAAAUCGAUAUAAAUAUCCCUGUCAUCUCAGACACUAUAUUCUCAAACCAAAAGCAGCACUAACAUGAUCAUCAUUACAAAAUAAAGAUCUAGAAAUAUCUCAUUUCUAAAACUCCAGAUAUUCAAUGAAUUAUUAGUUGAAAAGACAUAAUUGGACUUCACGAACAGAAGUGGAAAGUGUUAUUCACCGGGUAUGAUGGGUCUUGUACAUCUAUAAUCUAUUGUCACAUUAGACCCAAAAACAACCUGCCACAGAGAAUGAGAAGGUUAAUUACUUUUUCCAACGAGGAGAAGUACAAAAUUACUCACGAAAAUUGUAAGAUUUUCCCUAGACGCAGACAUGUAUUCGGGUAAAAUUAUAUAGUAUAUACCUGAUGCAAUAAAAAUUUAUACAAAUGCACAUCAAUAAUAUUUGAACAUACCUGAAGGUGAGAUAUGUCACGCUUUGCCCCAUCAGAUGCAAAUACAUCAUCUUGCUCUAUACCAAGGGUGGCAUAAUAAGCCGAACAUAUUGCCGCUCUCAGUGGCUGUACAAACGAGUUGUGUUACUUUUUAACCAAGUCAAACUCAAAUAUAGCAACAUAUAAUUAAGAUACAACAUGAUUUCUUACAAUACACAGAGUAAACGUGGGUAUACUGAAAAUCAAAUUUUAACUAGUCCUCUACAAGAUGCAACUAAAACAAAUAUAUCAGCAAAAGAAUUAGGAGCCAAAAAUGGGGUAGCUAGUUUGAGAAUGGGCAAAUCAUUUCACACUUCUCAUACUCAAAAAUAUUGACCAUCUUUCCUUUUAUUUUCUACAGUGUAGCUCAUAUGGAAUACAAUUAUCAGGCUGAACUACUCCAACAUGGUGAUAUUACACUAUAUUGGAAAGAGCAAAAAGAAUCAAUUAAUAAAGAUAGCACCUGGAUGUUUAACUAUAGAUAUAUUUGAUUCUGUACAGUUAUACAAAUUCAAAGUGCAUUAGAAUGAACAGUGUACACAGUCAAUACAACAUACUUUUUCACCUUGUUCCGCUCCAUACCCACUGUAAACCUCAAGUGUUGAAAGCGCGCAUAAGCUUUCUGGCAAAGUUAAAAUUAGAAUUAGAUACAACUGAAACAAGUGACAAAAUCAUCAUUUACCUAAAUAUCGUAGUUAUAAUAUAUGUUUGGAAAUUGUAUAAAAAAUAAUUUCAUAACCUCGAGUUUAAGUGUCUAAACAAUGAAAAACAAAGACUGUUAAUUAGAUACAAGAAAAGGUUAUUUAAUAACUUAAUAAUAAAAGUGUGUUUAUGUAUUAACAGACCAGCACUACACCUUAGCCAUAUCAGAGGUGAUCACUUCUGGAAUAGGCUCAGUUGUGUCACCGAUUCCAAGGCUUAUUGGGCAUCAGGGUUCUUUAUAACUGAGCUGCCUUCCUUCGUGCUGUCUAAUUAUCCAGGGGAAAACAAUAAGUUAUAAUUAGCUAUACCAUACGCUAAAUAUGAAAGGAUGCUAUCAAGUAAAUGAGGACUACAUCACUGAUCAUUGAUGAAAUAGUCCAAAAUGAAAAAUUGACUUUCUCAAACGCAAGAGUGGGCACAGUCUUCUAAAAAAUUACUCAAAAACUAUUGAUAUCAAGCGGGGAACAACUUAAUACUUGCCAAAUAUUGCACUACAACAAGUAAAAUAACAAACCUCUGGAAAAAAGAAGUUUACCAAUAUUGGUAUUAUGAGCAACCUUAGUUGUGUAAGCUACACAUAAUGCAGACCGUUAAUUCUCAUAAAAGAAGGUGCAUUUAGAAGGUAUCUAUGUACACCAACUUCUUUAAUUAAAGGCUCUGGCAAAAGGCUACACUAUAAUUUCUGAAGGUAACAAAGGUUAUCCUUAGUUUCUGUAAUAUUCUCUCAAAAUCGAUAUUAGACUAAGUAUCGAAGUCUAAAAUGAAGGUGUGACAGAUCUCUUUAAUAUAACAAAAAUCGCAGAGAACAAGUCUAGACUGCCAUCUGGUACCUUUUUCUUAAGGUCAUUGUAUUUUCUUCAAAUAAUUAUAUAUUUAAAUUGGUUCCCCCAAUGAAAUCAACCAUCAGUGCUAAACUAAUUAAGAACAUCGAUAACCACUUACAGUCGCAUUGCAACUUCACCCGCAUAAGAACACUAAUACCACAACUCUAAUAAGUACAACACACAAUCACAAAACAUAAAAAUCCAGUCUUUGUAAUCUACCACCAAUUCUUGAUACAUUGUACACUUACAACACACAAAUUCAAGAACUUAUCACAAAUAACCAGUCUUUUCAGCAGAAGGUGUGGCAACACAUUUACAGAUUCCACUCUUCUUAGCUGGAAUCCAUACAUUUCUAGCUCUGAAACAUAACACACAAAUAAAAAAAUGACCCAGAUAAAAAAAUAUCAAUAAUGAGGUUAAAAACAUAAAUUGUUUCUAAUUUGUAAGUAAGUGCUUUGGUCAUAUGGCAUUUCCUCGCUCCGUUUAUAGGAAGCCGAGAGUUCGAAUCUUGUCGAAGAAAAGGGUAAAAUUUUAGAAGAUGGAAGAGUUACCUGAAUGUAGUAGAUAAUUUGUUGGGUUGGCCUAAGAAAGCAGAGGUUGAUGAUUGAACAGAAGUAGGCACAACAACUCUAUUAAAAACCCAAUACGAAAUACUUUGCACUUAUGAGAUCCAGCAACAAGUCUUCAUUUGGUAUCCAUUUAGCCCCAAAUGUCACACACAGAGACACAAAUACACACACUAAAACUACUAAAACUCUUCAAGAUUGAAUCUUCCUCGCACAAAAGUCAAGACCCAUAAAGGAAAAUAAAAAAAUUUCAGUAACUCUAUUAAAACCCAAUACAAAGUACUUUGCACUUAUGAGAUCCAGCAACAAGUCUUCAUUUGGUAUCCAUUUAGCCCCAAAUGUCACAUACACAAACUAAAACUACUAAAACUCUUCAAGUUUGAAUCUUCCUCGCACAAAAGUCAAGACCCAUAUAGGAAAAUCAGAAAAUUUCAAUAACUCUAUUAAAAACCCAAUACAAAGUACUUUGACAAGUGCCAGCUUGUGAGUUGAAGAUGAGAGAGAUCUAGAGAUACUAACAAUUUGUGAGACCUCUUUUAUUUGAUAGAUAAAAAUUUAACAAAAUUAAUUAAUAUCCAGUAUCUAUACAUAAUACACACACAUUCCUUUUAAUAAUACUACGUUACCCGUGUAACUCCUGAACUAUACACUACUGUCUUGAAUCAGUCCUGAGAUGGCCAAACCGGCCCGCCAGCCAACCGGCACGGCUUGCUCGUUUGGCCACCUCUAGCUCUAACCCGUAUUGGCGACGUCUCUGGCAGAAAUGCAAGGCUUUAGGCCAACAAUUAUCAGACGGUGUACAAAUCUCAUCAAUGCGUGGUUGAAUGAAUGCAAGAUUUUUUUUUCAAGUGCUCAACUAAAAAACAACUAAAGCAGAAUACAAAUGCAGUAAGAAUUCCCUGAUAUGCAUUUAUCUAAAACUGUCUCCCACACGUGCACACAGUCUUUGAGACUCACAGCACUCUAGUUAUCCUGGCCUGCAGAUUAUUUAAGAAACAAUAACCUCAUCCUAAAUAGCAGAUUCUGUAAGCAACAAGUUAAGAACCAAGUAUCUUGAAAAUUUUAAGAUAAAAUAUGAAUAACUAAUUACUUUGUGACAUAGAACAUAGUUAUUAAUCAGUAAAAAGUAAAACUCUCAUCAGUUUCAUGUUAAGUACAUGAGAAUAUGCAACAUAUCUGGCCAACAAUUAACCCAUGAGGUCAAAACAAAUAAUGUUCGCUCUCCCGCGCCCAGUCUUUGAUUAAAAGCUUUAAAGAAGCUUUGGGCAUGUCAACAUAUAGUUUUGUCCCAGGAAAUUCUUUCUUAUCUUCCUCCAGAAAAGCAAGGGAGCCAAAUGGAUUAUCUUUUUCUUUCUCAAUACCAGCUCAGACCUGAAAAGCAAAUGAGACUAAAAGGUCACCACAUGAUUUGGCAACAAAACGGUGUGCAAGAAUGAGUGCUGUACUUUGCCAAAGGAAAAUUAAGUGUUAGUCAUGCUAGUUCUUAAAUUCAGCUUUAAUCUACUGAAAAGUUAUUAUACUACUAAAAUUUUUUAUACAUAAUAAUUCAAGCUUGAAAACAUUACAUGCUGAAGGUUGUAGACAAGGAAACAUGCACAUAAACAUAUGUUAAGCUUCUACAAGAAUGAUAAAUUAAGAAGUUAUUACUUUACGAUGCACACGCUUCACAUCCUCACAUUACUAACUCCUAGAUAAUAAACUAGAAAUGAUGUCAUAUUGAUCAAAUAAGCUUUUCCGCAGCAUACUUACGUGUAAACAAUAGAGUGAUUCAAUUUAACUACCAGAUAUUAAACAGAAUCCUAUAACUGAUUGCUCAUAAUUGACAUUGGGGAAGAUGCUUGAUGAAUACUUGGUAUUUUCUAUUUCAAUUUCAGCAGACGUGGCAGAUAAAAGCCAAUUGGACUAAACAGAAAAUUUCCAGCACCAACGAACACAGGAAUUCUAUAGAAAAACAUUAGACCAGCAGCUACAUGAGCAGUAAAAUAUGUCAACCGAAUAUCAAGGGAAUUAAUGAAAAUCAAGUUCAACAAUACAAUACAAGAUGAAAACCUCAAUGCUUUUUUAAGUUAUGGCUAACUAACCUAACCCCAUUAAAGUGACUGCCUAAAGUCCCAAACUAUCUAACAAAUGCACCCAUGUAAAAGUCUUUAUCAGAUAACUUCAAAACAAUUAUAUUAAUAAAUUAAAAGUAGAACACAAAAUAAAAGUAUCAAAUGAGGCAGUACAUAAUGAGUUUGUUCAUGGUAUCCAUCCAGUUUAAAAACCACAUAAAACUGAAGACAAUUAUGAAGAACGAAGCUUGGUACACCGACAUAUUCAACUCGCAAACCACAAAAACACACGUACCAUGAUCUAACGAUGAAUAUUAAGCAUAGCCUUCGCCUCACUCUGCUCCUCCAACAAAUUGUCACUAGCAUACUUGCUCAAAAGCUCUAACUUCUUCUUCUCCACAAUCAUCUUCUCAAUCUCGCUCUCAUCCGGCAAUGGCACAUGCACCAUGAACUCCUUCUCCCCACUCUCCCUCUCCUUGAUCUCCCUCUCCCUCCUCUCCUCUUCAACCACAUCCUCCUCUUCCUCCCUCAAAAACUCCUUAACAACAUCCCCUCCACUCUUAACCCCACGUCUUGCCUCCCUCUUAAUCGCUUCCAUCUCCUCCCACUCCCUAACCUUGUCGGCCCUCAUCCUCUUCUCGGCGCCCACCUCCAACUUCUCCAAAACCCCAUCCUCAUCAUCCCUAUAGCCGUAAUAACUGGCAUCAAUCCUCUUAUAAAUAUCAUACCGAGUCCGCCUCUUGCGCAACUCAGGAGGCUUGUCAAACAACUCCUUAACACCGGGUAACUUCUUGGCAGCGCCAAAAUACCUAUACCCCGGGCCGCGGCCACUGGGAUUAGGAACAUCAACAAUAUUGCCAUCCAAAUCAGUCAUUUUUGCAGAAUGCCGAGUGUAAUUAGGCCCACCAAGCUCAAUUAUUCUGCGUUCCCAAUGCAAUUUCUCGCGUAAAAGCUUGUUAAUUUCAUCAUUAAGAUCACGAAGACGGUGCUCACCUAAACCCUCGUUCUGGAUUUCGGUGACUUUCCGACCAAUUUCACGCAUGAUUUGCUGCCUCCACUUGUCGGCUUCGGACAAAUCGCGGCACUCGGAGGCUAAGAAUGGGCGGCGCUCUUUGGGCUUCUUCUUCUCCUCGUUUUUCAUGGUGAUGAAUCGAUUCAGCAUCGAUUGGGCUUUCUCUUCGUUACGCGCCAUUGGAAUGAAUCUGAUUGAUGUGUGUCUGUGUGUGUAAUUGCCUAAUUGCACAGCAAAACCCUAGACAGAGAGCUUCUGCGAGUUUAAGCUAGUUGGUGGCUUGGUGCUGCAACCCAACCCCUCGUUGGCUUCGAAUCUAGUAUUUAUGCCCGCUUUUGUUUAAAUAUUUUUUAUUUAUUUUGUCAAAAAAAAAUAUUUUUUAUUUUGAAAAUCAAUUUAAGAAUAUAGAAAUUUAAACGAAUUUUGAAUAAAAAUGGGUUUUUUACUAUGAAACAUAUAAUAUAUAUUUAACAUCUAUCCAAGUGGAUUAUAUUAAAUUUUAUUUGUAUGUUAAAUUUGUUUUGAUAAACUUAUUCUCAAUAAAUGGGAAAUUAAAAUUUAAUUAUUGUGUUACACUUGUUUUUGUAUUCAUAGUAAGAGCAUCUCCAAUCAUCGAAAACCCUUAACUAAAAGGUGAGUUGGCAUAUUAUAAAUAAAAAUAUUUAGCCAACAGCUCGAAAAACUCAUACUCCAACCAUACUCAGAUGUUGUCUAUAUUAGGAAGAUUGCAUAUCAUUUAUUAUCAUAUUAAACUAAUAUAUUCUAUUUUAAAUCUAAAAAAUUAAUAACAUACUAUUUUUAAAUUAUAGUCAACCAAUAAUACCAUUGAAGCAAAUGUCUUAUAGUUUCAGCAAAUUUCACAUAAUGUCUUACAGGUCUCAUUUAACCAACGAUUAUAGCCAACGCCGUGGAGCAGCGUUGGAGUAGCCCAAUUUUGUAAAUAUACAAAAAACAAGUUAAGGACAUAUGGGUAAAUUCUGAUUACUGCAUUAAGCAAAUUUUUACUGCAUUUGACAAUCAUAAAAUUUUAUAGAUUUAUAGAUUUGUAUAUGGCAAAUUCACUAGCCCAAUCCAUUCUCUAUAAUCUUUCCACAUAGCCUCCUGUCUAUUCUAAACUCCUUCCCUCUAACUUUUUUCAAUUCCCGGCAAAUCUUCCAUACCUUUCUUGAAGACUAACAGCUUUCUAAUAAUUCGCAUAAGAGCUUCAGGUCUACGGAAAAUCAACAUCAAAGUAUGUUAUUCACAAAUUUAAUUCCAUGUUCGUGCAUAAAACGGGAGAAACUAGGGCUAUCCUUGUUUUAAUUUUCUUUUUCUAUUCCUACAAUUGAAUAUGUAAUUGUUAAAUUCAUGUUUCAAUCUAACUUGUAAUUAUAUAUUUUGGGAGAAUUGAUUUCAGGUUAUGUAUGUAAUUAUAUAUUUGGGGCCUGUGUAAUAUCAAUAACUUGUAUGACUUCGCUUAAUUUGGACUUAGAAUUUGUAUACUUUGAAUUUCGGAUGAUGCAUUUGUUGUAGCCUGUUAUCCUAAACCAAAAAAAGAAAAUACCGACUCAUUAAACAAAUUUAGGUAUAGAAGAAAUCAAGAAUCUGGGAAAACACCAUAUGUUAGAUACAUUUGUGCAUUUGUGCUUCGUUACUUUGAAUGGUCUAACCUGUAAAACUAGUUGAGCUCUCAUAUUGUAUAUUGUGACUUGAUAAAUUGUGUUUAUUGUAGAAAAUGGAUUCCUCUUUAAUUCAAUUGCUUAAUAAUGGGGUAUAUAAUGAAGUGAUGAGUUCGGAGUCGCCUCCAUUCUCACAAGCACAAGACGUAAUGAACAAAAUGAAAAAGGCAAAGGGUCGGUCAAAAAAUUUCACGAUUCAAGAAGAUAUGUUACUUGUAUCCACGUGGAAAUAUGUGAGUUUGGAUCCAAUAUAAGGCAACAAUCAAACACAACAAACAUAUUGGAGUAGAAUAACAAGCUACUUCAACGAGCACAAAACAUUCGAAAGUGAACGGAGCUCAAGCUCUCUGGGUAAUCACUGGUUAUCGAUACAACUUUGUGUGAGCAAAUUUCAGACAUUUUGUAAUCAGAUAGACGGAAGAAAUCAAAGUGGAGUCGGUGAACAAGACAAGGUACUUGUAAUUGGAUUAAUUUUGCAGUUUAUCACUUUGUUUGAAGCAUUGUUUUUGUCAAAUUCAGCUUAUCAUUCGAGUAGUUGUCUUUAGAAGUUUAGUUAAAGAAUUCUGCUGCAAUUUUCGGCAGGUUUUUAUAGAAAUCUGAAGGAAUUCUCAACAGUUUUGUUGUAGUUUUUUGCGAAAAAAUUCUGCAGCAGUUUUUGGCCAUUUUCUGCAAUUUUUUUGUAGCAGUUUUUUUUUAGCAGUUUUUCAGCACAUUUCACAGCAUUUUCCGCACAGUUUGCAACAAUAUUGAGUUAUUUUGGACAGAAUUUUAAAGCAGUUUUCUGGAGCAAUUUUAUUAUGUUUUUGUGAGUUCUGUGUGCAGUUUUAUCCUCAUUUUUUUACUAAAUUGUGUUGAUUUAAAUUUCAGAUUCGUGAGGCAUGUGAGAUGUACCAAAAUAUACAAGGCAAUGCUUUUCCUUAUAUGCAUUGUUGGACGGAAUUGCGACAUUCGUCAAAGUUUGCAUCCAAUCAAUCAAAAUCCAAAAAAAAAGCCAAGACAUCUCCAAAUGACAAGUCUUCUCCAACACCAUCUAGUGGUAGUCCAGCGAGUGUCAAUAAUGAAGUUGAAAUGAUGACAUGCAAGAAAGACUAAUUGGAAGAAAGACAGCAAAGAGAUUACACAAGAUAAAUUUGGAAGGCAAAGAAGAUGAAUUUAAAGUCUUACUCAUUGAAAUGAAAGAAAGCCUAACGGUUACAGCACAACAAAGAAUGGAGGCAUUUGAUAAAGUAGUCCAAAUGGAGGAGGAACGACAUGAAUAUAAGAGAGCGAAAGAGGCAAUUAUAUGAGACCUCCAUCAUGGAAAACGAUAUUAGUGUCAUGGAACCUCAUCUUGCUAGUUAUAAUAAUUCUCUCAAAGCAAAUAUCUUAAAAAAAUUUGCUUAGAUCGAUGGAAAGACAUGUUAUUAUUAUUUAAUUGAAAUGAUUACCAUUAAGAAAAAUACAAUAUGAAAGUACGAUAUAAAUACAACACUAUUACAUAUCACCGCCAUGGCAUUGCCAAAUUUGCUUGACUAGAUCAUUUUCCAACUGAAUAUGAGCUUGCUUGUCUCAAAUUUGCCGAUGUAUUUGAAUAAAUUCUUUGAUGUAUCUUGCACGACCAAUAUUCAUUGAAAUAGUUGGUGUGUCAAUAUCGGUGUCAUAAUUAAAAUCUGAAAUAUUUAAUUCCCUUUCGUCUUCAAUAAUCAUGUCGUGCAAAAUUACACAAGAUGUCAUUAUAUACUUCAUUGUGUCGACAUCCCAAAAUCGUGAAGGUCCACGUAUUAUUGCAAAUCUAGAUUGCAACACUCCAAAUGCUCGCUCAACGUCUUUCCUAGCCGCCUCUUGCGCAACAGCAAAAUACUUUCUGUUGUUACCCUGAGGAGCUGAAAUAUUUUUAACAAAAGUUGGCCAAGAAGGAUAUAUACCGUCAGCUGGAUAGUAUCCCAUCUUAUAUUGAUGCCCAUUGAUACUAAAAUUAACUUCAGGUCCAUGACCUUCUUCUAAUUCAUAAAAACAUUAGAUCGAUCCAACACAUUUAUAUCAUUCAAAGAUCCAGGAAAUCCAAAGAAAGAGUGCCAAAUCCAAAGAUCAUAUGAAGCUAUUGCUUCUAAAAUAAUAGCAGGUUCAUGAACAUGACCUGUAUAAGCUCCUUGCCAUGCAGUUGGACAAUUAUUCCACUUCCAUUGCAUACAAUUAAUGCUUCCUAACAUACUUGGAAAGCCGCGUUGUUCUGCAAAUGCCAAUAAUCUUGAUGUAUCUUUCCUAUUUGGCCGUCUCAAAUAUUCAGGACCAAAUACUUUAACAAUUUCUUUCAUAAAUCUUCUAAGACUCUCGAUAGCUGUACCUUCACCAAUCCUAAUGUAUUCAUCAACGAAAUCUGCAGCCGUACCAUAAGCAACCAUUCUAAGUGCAGCCGUAAUUUUCUAUAGGGAGGAUAAUCCACGGACUCCAACAGCAUCGGUUUUUUGAUAACUAUCAUGAGCUGUAACUGCUCCUUCAAUCCUCAAGAAUAGUAAUUGACGCAUAUGAAAUCUUCUACGACACAUUGUUUCUGGAUAGUUGGAUUAUCAUAAAAAUAGUCACAAUAAAGUCGAGCAUGACCUUCUUCUCUAUUUCAAUUGAUGACACGGUGAUUUAGUGUCGAACCACCAUGUUGUGAAGUUGAACUUUCAUUGUGAAUUUGUCGCUAUUAUUGAGCAACAGUAGUCAUUGUUAGCAUUUGUUCAGCUUCUUCUUCUUCGGCUCUCAUCAUUUCACGCAUUAAUCGAAUAAUAUUUGACAUUGUGUUUGCAAGUAUAAUAAAUUUGGAUUGAAUUCUAUCUAAAAAUUCACAAGUAGUGACAGUGGCGGAGGCACCUAUGGGUCGGGGUAGGUUUGGGCCCUCCCUGAAAAUUGGGCAUGAAAUAUUUUUCUUUUGUGUUGUGUCCACGCUGAAAUCUUGUAAAACCAAAGUGCAGGCCCUGAAAUUUCAUUUGGAAAAGCAAGAGAGCACUGAGUAGAACUCAGCAAGAGAGCAAUAUCUGUGCUUUUUGUUGUAUCCAGAUUUUACAGGUGUCAAGACUUGACGGGACAUACAUGAACAUGACGGCAUGAAUCAUCGACGUGACAUGAAGACAACUAACGUAAGAGCAGACUGCAGAUUGAAAAUCAAAAGAUAAGCUUUAAGAGUAGGUCUUAUCAGCCCCACUCUUUUAGGAGUGUAAUUCAAAUAGAAGUGCGGAUAAACGAGCAAGAAGAUAGGGGAAGUUACAUGCACGUGGGGCACUAGUUGAGCAAAAAUUGGAGAUAAGGUUGGUAACAACCUUAUCACUUUCCAACACUUGCAACCAUAUCUCUUAUAUAUUAGCACACGGUUGAAGCUCAAAAUCACCUAUAAAUACCACAAGAAGAUGAGAUAAACACAAGUGAUCUUCAUCUACAUACUUAUCAAGAUAUAUAUAUAUAUAUAUAUAUAUAUAUAUCAUCUACACACCUUUACAACUCCACGACUUCACUUUUCUUAUGUAUAAACCCAAAGCCAAGGCCCAAGAUAUGCAAAACUACGCUACACUUAUCUCCCACAUAUUGUAUAACUACAAUACACGCACCAUAGCUUUUUCAUCUUCUAUCAAGGGAGCUCUACAUCUUCAUCUCCCUAAAAUCAUUCGGCCGACAGGUACACACUACUGCCGCGGGUGCACACUGCUGCCGGACGGGAACUGCUUCUGGAGCUGACGACUGCGUCUUUUCAUACUUGUAACUUUUAUUUCUCAUGCUUGUAAGCUGAUACUUCAUCAUUAUAGUGGAUAUUUUGCUUGGACAUUCUCACCCGCGGUUUUUAACCUUUUACAAGGGGUUUUCUGCGUCACCAAAAUUGUUUGUGUUCUUGUCUUUUACUUUCUUUUCAUUACUCAUCCUUUCAAUCUUCUCGAUGUUCAUACAUAAAAACACUUACUCCAUUGUUAUAGAAAUUAAAUAGGCUUGGCUUUGCAUUUUUGUACUUAUAGUUGGGGAAAAAAAAAUUACAUUCAGCGCUCCGUCGUAUAUAUUCUUUAUGUACCAAAACGCGUGUGGCUUAGAGCUAGAGUCAUAUCAGUGAGUUUUGUUUUUCCAUCUAAUAUUUUUCGAUUCAAUUGAUAUUUUUUUUUCCUACUUGUUUGUAAGAUGCAUUAAACCUUUUUAAUUACAGGGAGCAUCUGGAAUCAAAUUUCCCAUCAUAUAAAGUCAGAGGUGGUUCGACAAAUGUUCUUCCCUGCAACUAUUCCAACAUAUUACAGGCAGUGUUGUAAAAAGCGGGAAGCGGACUUAAUCGGUGAAAUCACAAAACAUGGAUUAAUCGGUGAUUAAUUGAAUUGAUCAGGGAUUAAUUGGAUUAAUCAGUAAUUAAUCGGAGAUUUAAUCAGUUCGGCGAGCUACAGAACAGAGAUUAAUCGGUGACUAAUCGUGAUUAAUCACCGACUUUUAGAACAGAGAUUACAGGUCUCCCCCCAUUGGCCGUUACAGAUCAAAGCAGGGCCAUUGCGAAAAAGUUUUCAUAAUGUUAAGCAGGGCCGUCCAGUGAUUAACCGGACCAUGGUCAAGAAUCAAUUUUUGGGAAUACUUCACAUAUUUUGGGGCCGUUUGAGUUAGCUUAAAAUAAGUGACUUCUUGCUUAUAGUAAAGAAGUGGAGUAGAAGUGAGAAGUAAAUAACUUAAUAAAGUGUUUGGAAAAGAAGCAGAAGCUGUGAGAGAGAAGUUAGCAUUCUCAGCUUCUUAAAAGUGCUUCUACUUUUUUGCACAAACGGGUCAAGAGAAGCAGAAGCCAGAAGCUGCUUCUCUUGACCAAACAGGCCCUUUAUAAUUCGAAAAUUUCAGGAUCAUAAAAUAUCGGGAUCCUGGACGCAGUUUUUGUCUGCCCACAACACGCUUUAGAUGGUUCCUUUCCCUCGAUAUAUGUAAACAAUACUCCCUCCGUCCCAUUUUAGUUGUCACAUUUGGUUUUAUGCCGGUCAAAUUGACCAAAGUUUGACUGAAAUUUAUUAAUAUUUUAUCAUUUGAAAAAAUAAAAAAAAUAUGCCACCAGAAAUAACUUUUAAUCUACUUUAAGAUGUAAUUUUUUGUUUUUUAAAAUAAUGAAAGAGUGACUUGUAAAUUUUUUGGUCAAAAAUUAGUCAAUUUGAUAAAAAAAGGAAAUGUGACAACUAAAAUAGGACGGAGGGAGUAAUUGAUUACUAUAACCUUCCUUAAGUUCUAUUUUAAUAUCUGAAGACAAACUCUUGUUAUGUAAUUUUCUACGUAGUAGUUAUUUGUUAUGGUCCACACAAACUACUGUUUGUGGUUCAUCUAAAUGGGACAAAUUGGUUUGUUAACACUUUUCUCAAAGGUGAGCGUAUGUUUAUUGAUACCAAGGCCAAUUCAGCAGCUUUUUGUUCGAUUUCCCGUCCCAUGUUAUUAUGUACAAAAUUUUGCUAAGAUUGAAAGAGGCCUCAGUUAGCUAUAUAAUUUUGCUUAGAAAGCUAACUAAGUAAAAGAUUUAUCUCCCACUUGUAUAUCCGUGACUCUAUAAUCUCAUCAAAUAAAUUAAAGAUUCCUCUUAAGAUAUCAACAUGAAACCAGUAUAUUUUUAAUCUCGAUAAAUGAAUAAAUUUAUAAAAAAAAUAAAUAAACGGGAAUCAGGGAAACAGUACACUUUAAAGUGUCGCAUUCAUUACACUAAACAUCAGUUUACAGUGUACACUUCGAGCAUAAUUUUUAUGAUAAUAAUUGAAGCCUCCUCAAAUACCUUAAAAGAUAUCAAUAUUUUACGAAACCAGUUAGCGAAGACGAAAAAAGAUGCAGAUGGUUGUUUGUUUACUUGUAUAGUUGCUUGAAUCUUCUACAUGCUUCCACAACAUUGUCCCGGUGACCAAAGGCGCUUACCCUGACAAAACCUUCACCACCAGGUCCGAAACCACUUCCAGGCGUAGUAACAACAUGGGUCUUCUCAAGAAUCUCACUGAAAACGUCCCAUGAACUUUGGCCUGGAAAGUGGACCCAUACAUAUGGAGCAUUCUUUCCUCCGUACACUUUAAAACCAAGUGAAUCAAAU
rnacentral:lncRNA from 1 species